AGCGAACGCUGGCGGCAGGCUUAACACAUGCAAGUCGAACGCCCCGCAAGGGGAGUGGCAGACGGGUGAGUAACACGUGGGAACGUACCCUUUGGUUCGGAAUAACUGGGGGAAACUCAAGCUAAUAUCGGAUAAGUCCUUAUGGGGAAAGGUUUACUGCCGAAGGACCGGCCCGCGUCUGAUUAGCUAGUUGGUGAGGUAAUGGCUCACCAAGGCGACGAUCAGUAGCUGGUCUGAGAGGAUGAUCAGCCACACUGGGACUGAGACACGGCCCAGACUCCUACGGGAGGCAGCAGUGGGGAAUAUUGGACAAUGGGGGCAACCCUGAUCCAGCCAUGCCGCGUGAGUGAUGAAGGCCUUAGGGUUGUAAAGCUCUUUUACCCGGGACGAUAAUGACUGUACCGGGAGAAUAAGCCCCGGCUAACUUCGUGCCAGCCGCCGCCGUAA
rnacentral:rRNA from 1 species